CUACGGGAGGCAGCAGUAAGGAAUAUUGCGCAAUGGAGGCAACUCUGACGCAGCCAUGCCGCGUGCAGGAAGAAGGCCUUAUGGGUCGUAAACUGCUUUUAUUUAGGAAUAAACCCCCGAACGUGUUCGGGGCUGAAGGUACUAAACGAAUAAGCACCGGCUAACUCCGUGCCAGCAGCCUGCGGUAAUACGGAGGGUGCAAGCGUUAUCCGGAUUUAUUGGGUUUAAAGGGUGCGCAGGCGGGCUAUUAAGUCAGUGGUGAAAUCCCGGGGCUCAACUCCGGAACUGCCAUUGAUACUGAUAGUCUUGAGUUUGGUUGAAGUGGGCGGAAUGUAGCAUGUAGCGGUGAAAUGCAUAGAUAUGCUACAGAACACCAAUCGCGAAGGCAGCUCACUAAGCCAAAACUGACGCUCAUGCACGAAAGCGUGGGGAUCAAACAGGAUUAGAUACCCCAGUAGUC
rnacentral:rRNA from 1 species